GAGAGGACAAACCGGCCCGGUCCAAAUGGCUCCACCAAAAGUUUCAGAUCUACGAUGCAUGUAUGCCAUCGAAACAGACUUGGGUAGAUCUGCUUCAUGAAGUACAUGAGGCGGAGAAUAUGAUUGCUAAAACUGCCGAGUGACCGAUCCCUUGAAAACCCUAGAAUACAUUGCAUCCGAUUCGAUUUCUUUUUAAAGAAGAAGAUCCAAACCCCUUAUCUGAUAUUCCGAAUUCCCAAUCCAAGCCGGAGUUGGUAUCCUCAAUUGCUUCGCUGCUUCUCGGUGCGCGUCGAGCGGAUCGAUCAAGCGAUGGAUCACCGGGACCUGCAGGGCGUGGCGCUGUUGCCCGACGGCGUGCUAGCGGACGUGCUCUGCCGCGUCCGGACCCGGGGCCUCGCCGCGUGCAGGUGCGUCUGCAAGGCGUGGCUCGUCGUGUCGUCGACGACCGCCACCUGCUGCGGGCGGAUCUCCUCCCUUUGUCGAUCUCCUCCCUUUGUCGGUAGAUGGGCUCUCUUCAUCAACUUCCAGUCUUCCCGAGUUCUUCGCGCCCCUCUCGCACGGCCCUACAUGGCUACAUCCAGGGUUGGCUCUAGUGCCCCUAAAUUCUAGGGCACUAUAUCUGCUGCAGUUAAUUGUAUAGCUAAUAUAAUAACUAAUGUUAAAUUAAAUAAUCUAAUAUCUAAGUUGAGAGUUUUAAAAUUAAGCUUUUCAUAAGCAUCUAUGUUUUCUAUGGAGAUAUUUGAGUAUGUCAAUGAGAUGGAUUCGUAUUC